CCUCGGCUAACUACGUGCCAGCAGCCGCGGUAAUACGUAGGCWCGCAAGCGUUGUUCGGAAUUACUGGGCUAAAGAGUGUGUAGGCGGUGYUCUAAGUUCGGUGUGAAAUCUCCCGSCUCAMCUGGGAGGUUGCGCCGAAAACUGGGGUGCUGGAGYGCGGGAGAGGAAAGYGGAAUUCCUGGUGUAGCGGUGAAAUGCGUAGAUAUCAGGAGGAACACCGGCGGUGUAGCGGCUUUCUGGAC
rnacentral:rRNA from 1 species